rnacentral:rRNA from 1 species
AGAGUUUGAUCAUGGCUCAGAUUGAACGCUGGCGGCAUGCUUUACACAUGCAAGUCGAACGGGGUGGCGGGGCAACCGGCCAUUCAGUGGCGAACGGGUGAGUAAUGCAUCGGAACGUGCCUCGUAGUGGGGGAUAACGCCGCGAAAGCGGCGCUAAUACCGCAUAUGCUCUGAGGAGGAAAGUGGGGGACUCGCAAGGGCCUCACGCUAUGAGAGCGGCCGAUGUCCGAUUAGCUAGUUGGCGGGGUAAUGGCCCACCAAGGCGAAGAUCGGUAGCCGGCCUGAGAGGGCACACGGCCACACUGGCACUGAAACACGGGCCAGACUCCUACGGGAGGCAGCAGUGGGGAAUCUUGCACAAUGGGCGAAAGCCUGAUGCAGCGACGCCGCGUGAGCGAUGAAGCCCUUCGGGGUGUAAAGCUCUUUCGACGGGAACGAUAAUGACGGUACCCGGAGAAGAAGCUGCGGCUAACUACGUGCCAGCAGCCGCGGUAAUACGUAGGCAGCGAGCGUUGUUCGGAAUUACUGGGCGUAAAGAGUGUGUAGGCGGUGCUCCCAGUCUGUUGUGAAAUCUCCCGGCUUAACUGGGAGGGUGCAGCGGAAACUAGAGUGCUAGAGGGUGGGAGAGGUAAGCGGAAUUCCUGGUGUAGCGGUGAAAUGCGUAGAUAUCAGGAGGAACACCUGUGGUGUAGACAGCUUACUGGACCACUUCUGACGCUGAGACACGAAAGCGUGGGUAGCAAACAGGAUUAGAUACCCUGGUAGUCCACGCCCUAAACGAUGCAUACUUGGUGUGAGCGAUUCAUUUCGUUCGUGCCGGAGCUAACGCGUUAAGUAUGCCGCCUGGGGAGUACGGUCGCAAGGCUGAAACUCAAAGGAAUUGACGGGGGCCCGCACAAGCGGUGGAGCAUGUGGUUCAAUUCGACGCAACGCGAAGAACCUUACCUGGGCUCGAAAUGCUAUGGACAGUCUGUGAAAGCAGAUCUUCUCGCAAGAGACCGUAGUAUAGGUGCUGCAUGGCUGUCGUCAGCUCGUGUCGUGAGAUGUUGGGUUAAGUCCCGCAACGAGCGCAACCCUUGUCCUGUGUUGCCACUCCCGUAAGGGAAGCACUCUCAGGAGACCGCCAGCGAUAAGUUGGAGGAAGGUGGGGAUGAUGUCAAGUCAUCAUGGCCUUUAUGUCCAGGGCUACACACGUGCUACAAUGGACGGUACAAAGCGCUGCAAACCCGCGAGGGGGAGCCAAUCGCAAAAAACCGUUCUCAGUUCGGAUCGCAGGCUGCAACUCGCCUGCGUGAAGCUGGAAUCGCUAGUAAUGGCGUAUCAGAACGAUGCCGUGAAUACGUUCCCGGGCCUUGUACACACCGCCCGUCACAUCACGAAAGUGGAUUGUACUAGAAGUCCUAAUCAAACAGGCCCAAGGUAUGAUUCAUGAUUGGGGUGAAGUCGUAACAAGGUAACCGU